rnacentral:tRNA from 1 species
AAAAUCCGUCGACUUUAGAAAUCGUGAGGGUUCAAGUCCCUCUAUCCCCCCAAAAAGACCGAUUUGACUAUUUCUCCUACCCUCUCUUUUUUUUAGUGGUUCAAAAUCCGUUCUCUUUCUCAUUCAUUCUACCUUUUUACAAACGUAUCAGAGCAGAAUUUUUUUUUCUUUUAUCACAAUCACAAGUGGUGUGGUAUAUAUGAUAUACGUACAAAUGAGCAUCUUUGAACAAAGAAUCCCGAUUCACAAUUCAUAUCAUUGCUCAUACUGAAACUUAUAAAUUAUUCUAUUCAAGAAAUCGAAUUCCACGCUCAAGACUUUUAAUACCUUUUUUUAUCUUUUUUAAUUGACAUAGACCCCAGUCAUCUAGUAAAAUGAGGAUGAUGCGCCGGUAAUGGUCGGGAUAGCUCAGCUGGUAGAGCAGAGGACUGAAAAUCCUCGUGUCAC